rnacentral:rRNA from 1 species
UACGGAGGGUGCAAGCGUUAAUCGGAUUUAUUGGGCGUAAAGAGCACGUAGGCGGAAAUGUAAGUCAGACGUGAAAUCCCGGGGCUCAACCCCGGACCCGCAUCUGAAACUACACUUCUAGAGGAUGGACGGAGAAAAGGGAAUUCCACGUGUAGCGGUGAAAUGCGUAGAUAUGUGGAAGAACACCAGUGGCGAAGGCGCUUUUCUAGUUUAUUCCUGACGCUGAGGUGCGAAAGCGAGGGUAGCAAACAGG